GGAUUCCCCUAGUACGGCGAGUGAAGAGGGAAGAGCUCAAAUUUUGAAUCUGGCGUCUUUGGCGUCCGAAUUGUAAUCUAGAGAAGUGUUUUCCGUGACGGACCGUGCACAAGUCUCCUGGAAUGGAGCGUCAUAGAGGGUGAGAAUCCCGUAUAUGGCACGGACUGCCGUUGCUCUGUGAUACACUCUCGACGAGUCGAGUUGUUUGGGAAUGCAGCUCUAAAUGGGUGGUAAAUGCCAUCUAAAGCUAAAUAUUGGCGAGAGACCGAUAGCGAACAAGUACCGUGAGGGAAAGAUGAAAAGCACUUUGGAAAGAGAGUGAAACAGUACGUGAAAUUGUUGAAAGGGAAACGCUUGAAGUCAGUCGCGCCGUUCGGGAUUCAGCCUUGCUUCUGCUUGGUUCACUUCCCGUUGGGUGGGUCAACAUCAGUUUUGGUCGGAGGAGAAAGGCUUGGGGAAGGUGGCAGCAUUCGUGCUGUGUUAUAGCCCCUUGUUGUAUACUUCGACUGGGACUGAGGACCGCAGCACGCCUUUGGCCGGGGUUCGCCCACGUACGUGCUUAGGAUGUUGGCAUAAUGGCUUUAAGCGACCCGUCUUGAAACACGGACCAAGGAGUCUAACAUGUGCGCGAGUGUUUGGGUGUUAAACUCGGACGCGAAAUGAAAGUGAAAGGUUGGGAACACUUAUGUGUGCACCGACGCCCGGAGCUGACCUUCUGUGACGCAUCUGCGGUAGAGCGUAUAUGUUGGGACCCGAAAGAUGGUGAACUAUGCCUGAAUAGGGUGAAGCCAGAGGAAACUCUGGUGGAGGCUCGUAGCGAUUCUGACGUGCAAA
rnacentral:rRNA from 1 species